UUUUUGGGGUUCAAAUGGAGGAAAUGAAGAAGCACUAAAGCGGGGGUUUGGUUUAUUUGCUUAAUUAUCUUUUUGUUUGGUAUUUUUAGAUUUGCAUUUUCUCUUUUAUGUGAGCUUUCAUUUUCCUUUUUCCUUUUUUCUUUUUCUACUUUCUCUUUUAGUUUAUUUCUUUUCCUUAAUUACCUAAAUUCUACUUCGCAUUAUGUUAGCUUUAGUUACUGAAUUUCUCUUCUUUAUUAAUUUUUUUUAUUGAGUUUAAAUUCUUGACUUUUUUUAAAUAAAAAAAAAUUGGAAAUAUAGCUUGUGAGGGUUUGAUUGAUGAAUUUGCUUUAAAAAAAAUGCUCAUAGGACCAACUAUAAUCAAUCAUUUUGGUGAACUUUAUAAUAUAAAAAUUAUGAAAUACAUUCUCAUAAUUUAGGGGCCUUUUUAAGAUUUCGCUCCGGGCCCCUAAAAUAUCCGAGACGACACUGAUAUUUAUCAUUUUCUUCAACCUCGGUACUAUAUAAAUUCCUUUCGCUUUCAAUUCGUCUCCGAUCCAUAGACAAACCAAUGGAGCUUCAAAAGUACCUUUAAUGGUGUUCAAGCUUCUCUUCUUGAUUUUCUAAGUUGUCUUAUAGAAAGAAUGGACCGUCAAGGAAGAUGAUAUGCCAUUUGGUGGCUUCAGGAACAACUCGCUUCCAAUUUCGAUGAUAUAUCAUUGUUUACCACUAAGAACAGGUUUUUUUUUUCAAAAAAAAAUCACUUCAUUUUAUUACCUCAAUUGUUUUUUCAUACCCUUAAUUUUAAUUUAUUUUUUAUUUUAGAUCUCGCUAAAAUGAAGUAAAAGUUGUAGAUUUAUGGGUCAAGGGAAGGUUGAUUCUCAUUUUGCAAUAUUAUCAGACUAUCUCAAUGCUUUGAUGGGUAAAGGGUUCAUGUAAUUGCUGUUAAUGAUUAUUUAGUGUUGUGAUUGUGAGUUGGUUGGUCAAGUUGCUCGAUUUUUUGGUCUCAAGGUUAUCUAUGAGCUAAUGUUUAACGAAGAUAUAAUAUGAAGAUGACGACGAUGGUAACGGAUGAUGAUGAAGAUAAACACUCCAAUGAAACAAGUGGAUGAUAGUUCAUUUUUAGUGUUAAUUUUCUUUUUAUUUGAUUACAGAUUAAUAGAUUAUAGUACCUAGAUAAAUUAUCUAAUACAUACUAUAAAUUACGAAGUAUCUAUUAUGUAAAUACUUCGUAUGUAUUAUGUACUACAUAUUAAUAGAUUAUAGUACCUUAGAUUUUCAUUUUU